CGGUCUGAUGGACAUAACUAAGAUUUUGUCAAAAUUAAAAAAGAUAAGGUUCAAGUGGCAUUUCUACAAGAGACUCACUUGAAUCAGACUGAACACUCUAAAUUGGCACGAAAUGGAUUUAAAUAUGUAUUUUCUUCAUCACAUGUUUCUGGCAGGAGGAGGGGAGUUGCUAUUUUAAUAUCAAACAAACUUAGAUAUGACCAUCAGACCGAAAUUAGAGAUAAAGAAGGUUGUUAUAUUUUAAUUAAAGGACAAAUUGAAGGUGCUCCAGUUACAUUCAUAAAUGUUUAUGUUCCUCCGGGUAGCAAAUUUAAAUUCUAUCAAAAAAUCUUUAAUAUCAUCUCAACUGAGGCACAAGGAACCUUAAUUUGUGGGGGAGAUUUUAAUACAGUCCUCAAUUCAAAAAUAGAUACCUCUAAAGUGACAGAGAGAUAUGUAACUCCUAUAGCAAGAAAACUUAAAGCUCUAUUAAGAAAUCUAGGACUGGUAGACCU